rnacentral:lncRNA from 1 species
AAAACAUGGCUGAUGCAAGCCUUUAAGGAUGCUGCAUACCCAUGUCUCUUCUCACUAAUAGAACUGAGCUCCCAGUCAGCCUCUUCCACCUGACCCAGUGACCAUGAGGCGUGACCACAGGUGCCUGCUCUCUGGACAUCAGAACCAGACAUGGAAACGAGUCUUCAUGCAGAACAACUCUAAGAGACAACAUGGCAUCAUGGAAGGAGCAAUAAGACUGAUCCCUGCCUCACUCCUGCUUUUUGGAAGUUUGAGAUUCCAAACUCUGUACUAUGGUUUUGCCCUCUGGAUCCUGCCUGUUUCUGCCUGCAUUCUCUGAACUUGAUCUCCAGGCUUUAAUCCCGACUAAGCUUUGGAAACGUCCUUGCUUGCCAUUAGAUAGAGCAGGAGAGUGGAAGAUUAGCCCUGAACUAACUGCUGCCAAUCCUCUUCUUUAUCUGAGGAAGACUGGCCCUGAGCUAACAUCCGUGCCCAUCUUCCUCUACUUUAUAUGUGGGACGCCUGCCACAGCAUGGCUUGCCAAGCAGUGCCAUGCCCGCACCCGGGAUCCGAACCGGCAAACCCUGGGCCGCCGAAGUGGAACAUGUGCACUUAACCGCUGCACCACCGGCUGGCCCCUUGUCCUACAUUUUCUUUCCUCAUAUGUCUAAAAUAAAUUAUUCAGUAUUCUUCUGGCAUAAACCAUCUGUUGAAAUAUCUGAAGAUAAUUUGAUUUCUUUCCCUUAUUAGUCACAAGGCCUUUUUGCCUAGGUGACUAAAGGUUUAUUUUUUCUUUAAAAU